CCCUCACUUGUAGGCUCUUCGUCCUGACUCUCCAUGGGCUGCUCUAGAGAAAGAUUGGAAGAAGAACUAGAGAUCUGAAAAGGGUUGAAUCCUGGCUAAGACCUUUGGGGGAAAGGCAGUACAUCUUAUCUCAGAGCACAGGGGAAUACCCACUGCCACUUGGAAAAAGGUAAAAGAAAAGUCUGUCCCUUGGGGAGGGACAGAAAAGUUUCCUGGGCCAAGGCCAUUUGAGAUCUUCUGCUGGAGGAGGGCAGGAAACACUGUCCUGCAGAAGCAUCAGCUGACACAGGGUGGAGUUUAGCUGCUAGAGAUAAGACAGAGUAUCACUAAGCCUCACUACCAAGACCCAGUGACCACAGGACCUACCUAAGACAGGCUGGACCAGGACAACAGUGAACGUCCCGGGCCCCCUGCCCCCAGGUAAAAAGCAGCCGCCACCCACCAGAGGCAGAGGGACGAGAUGUGGAGAGAGACACUCUCUGAGGUAGGGACAGGGAUGGCUGAGCUUAGAGUAGGAAGAGAAAAACCUCUCCAGCAACCUAUCAUUUUGUGUGCUCUGUGGUGGAUAAACUGUAGAGAGGUGAGAAUCCUGAAGAGAAAUCAGGUGGGUAGUUAUCGCAAUAAUCCAGAUGAGAAAGGAUGGCGGCUUGGCUAGUGUGGCAGCAAAGCGAGUGUGAAGUGAUCUGGUCUGAUUAUAGUUCCAAGCUGGAGCCUGCAGGGUUUGCUGACAUAUCGGAUAUAGGAUGUGAGAAAAUAGGAGUCAAGGAUGACUGAGCUCUUGGAAAGUGGGGUAAUCAUUUACCGAGUUUGGGAGAGCCAAGGUGAGGAGAAGUUUUAGGGGUUAAAUCAAGAGUUCCAGUUAUUUACUGUAGAAAACUAUUCAUAAUCAUUUAGAAGCUUCAUAAUUAUCUCCACAUUACCCUUUGUAUCCAGUGUAUAUAGGAGGCCAACUCUGCAUAGGAAGUGCUAACAGAAAGGCUUGCAGAACUGUUAAGCAGCUUCCUUCUUAUGAAGGUGCUUCUUCCAUGGAGAAUGGAACUCCCCCACCCCCACCCCUGUCCUUUUAUAUCAGCUGCUCUUGUUUCCUUGAUUUGCAAGAUGAGGAGCUCUUCUCUUCAUCUAUAGUUGUUUGUUUGUUUGUUUGUUUUUUGCUGCAUACGCAGCAUGUGGGAGUUCCCGGACCAGGAUUCAAACCAGUGCCAUAGCAGCUACUCAAGCUGCUGCCACUGCAGUAACAAUGCCACAUCCUCAACUGACUGCACCACAAGGGAACUUCCAUCUGUAGUCUUGAUUGCCCCUUUCAAAGGGUAAAAAAAUGUGACUUUAGACUUUGGAGGUGAUAUUUACCACUGUUUUUCAAUCCUUAUAACUAGGUUUUACAUUUCAUGGCUCCUUAGGUUUUGUUUUUGCUUUUUUUUUUUGCCAUCCUCCCUUCUCCUCAUUCUUAGAGUCAGCUGUACCUGCUGAUUCAUAUGCUAACAUGUCUUUUCAAGUAGGAAUUAUAAACUUUAGUGGAAGAAAAUGGAGAAGUUGAGGAUCCUAUGAAAUGGUUCCAUUAUUCACUGUCCCAGAACUGUUUAAGAUGCACACAAGGGAAACUGUGUUUCAAAAUGUUACAGGUCUGCCAAUAUCAUUUCUUACUGGCUUAAAAUGGAAGGGACAAACUGACCUUUGUCAAGCUAACUUUCCAUGGUGUUCUGACUAAACGAAUAAUGAAGUAGCUCUUAAUUACUGGAGGUGGAAGAAUUGUAGAAGGUCUUUCUUCAAAUUGGGGGAUGUUUAGGAACAAGAGCAUGGAAACUUAUAUGUAGCAGCCGUCUAACCACCAGGAUUGCAAUCCCGAAGGCUGAGACUCACCAAGUGAGGUUUGCUGACAAUGACCAUCAAAACCACCUGAAAUACGUGUUAAUUAUUCAGCUUCUUGGGGCCUAUCCUAGAUCUCCUGCUUCAGAGUUCUGGUGCUGAGGAGAGGACUUGGUGUUUUUAAAAAGUCCAAGUGCUGGAGUUCCCGUCAUGGCUCAGUGGUUAACGAACCCGGGUAGUAUCCAUGAGGACCUGGGUUCAAUCCCUGGCCUUUCUCAGUGGGAUCUGGCAUUUCCCUGAGCCCUGGUGUAGGUCUCAGACUUGGCUUGGAUCCCGAGUUGUGGCUACAGCUCUGAUUCAACCCCUAGCCUGGGUACCUCCACAUGCCGCGGGAGCGGCCCAAAGAAAAAGCAAAAAAAAAAAAAAAAGAAGAAGGUGAUGAGAUUAUUACUAAGGGGAUUAAGGAAGGUGACAAGAUUAGUGGGCAGAGACAGGCAUAGGCAAUAACAAGAUUAUCAUUUUAGUAAUAUCAAAGGGGGUAUCCUUAGGACAUAAUGCAGCUGUUUAUAGAAUAACAUGAUUAAUGCAUAAGUCCUUCAUCUUGUCUUAGAAAGAGACUCUGUACUUUAAAACUCUGAGUCCAGAGUUCCCGUCGUGGCGCAGUGGUUAACAGUCCGACUAGGAACCAUGAGGUUGCGGGUUCGGUCCCUGCCCCUGCUCAGUGGGUUAACGAUCCGGCGUUGCCGUGAGCUGUGGUCUAGGUUGCAGACGCGGCUCGGAUCCCGCGUUGCUGUGGCUCUGGCGUAGGCCAGUGGCUACAGCUCCGAUUCGACCCCUAGCCUGGGAACCUCCAUAUGCCGCGGGAGCGGCCCAAAGAAAUAGCAAAAAAAGACAAAACAAAACAAAACAAAACAAAACAAAAAAAAACCCAACUCUGAGUCCAUAGAUGUUUGCCUUCUGCAGAAUUCUGCUCUUCCAUGGUCUCCAACACAGUAUGACUUAAGAGACAGGUUUUUAAAUACUUCGAUAAAUAAUACUCAUCUUUCCUUUUCCCCAGUAUAGAUUCUCAAAUAACAGCUGGGCACAGGUGACCUGGAAUAAAGCCUGCACAUCCCAGACUCUAUUAUGAUCUUGUGACUAAGUUCUCUGCAGAGUUGCUUGUGAAGCUUCAGGGGAAAGUUCUUAAAAGAAAAGAGUUUAACCACCUCCCCCCCACCCCCAUCUUCUAAACUAGAUGUUUGGUGCUAGAGCAGCUGUCUUGGAAUAUGAUGUAGAAGUUAUAUAUAGAAGAUAGAAGAACAGCAAGAUAAAGAAUCUUUGGCCUUGGUGAUUGUGUAUUUACAUAUCAUUGGCCGGGCCUGCAUACCUAUAGUUAUGCAUGGAACAGAGUGUACUCAUAUUUAGUUGAGCUAAAUUUAGCACCAUGAUAAAGAACAAAGGCUUAGAGACCAGACUGGGUUUGAGUGAGUCUUGGGUCUAUUUCUUAUAGCUCUGAGACUUUGAGAAAAUUAAAGUAACAAAUGGUGCUUCCAUAUCCUCAUUUAUAAAAUGGGCUAAUGGAAACACUUAACCCAUGAGGUUGCUAUAGGGAUUAAAUAAGAUAGUGUAUAUAAAAUGCUUAUAGCGGUAACUGGCAGAUGGUAACGCAGAUGGAUAACAAUAAUAAUAACUAGUAUUAUUUGAACCACAGUUAAAGUCACAUUUUUUAUGAUCACAGAAGUUAAUCCUAGUGAAUGCAGAUGCUCAGGUACAUAUACAUAAUGCCCAGUAUGAAAUGUGUGCUUAAUUAAUAUUUUGAAUGAAUGAGUGAACUAUGUCUGUUACCUUUAAGUUCACAUACUGUAAUAACCUGAGGAGUGACCUUAAAGAACAUUGCAGCCUUCAUUAACAUUGAAUUAUGAGAAAACCCAUUAACUUUUUGUUCUGGUGACUAGAUACAAUAGUGCCCUUUUGGCAUUAAGCCCCAGGAGUCAAUGACCAUUCACCACUCACUAGUUCAGCAACUUCUCACAUGGUCACUGCUUUCAGUUUUCAAUCCUGUGCAUCUGUCACUGCAUCGGACUCUUAACCCAUUGUGGGCUCCUCUGCUGCUGGCAUGUAUGGCAGGCUAUCCCUGUGCCACCAGCCAUCAGCAUACCCUGAGGAAGAACUCAUUCAUUUAAUGUUAGCCAAACAAAGACCAAACAAAUCCACUGCCAAGAAAUGCCCCCUAAUGUGCUGAAUUCAAAGAAAUACUUAGUGGAUUAUCAGUAAUUGAGGAAAGGGGUGUUUAGCCAUCCUGUGUCUUUCCAAUAAUUUGGGACUAGCUAAACUUUUUUUUUUGUUUUUCAGGGCUGUACCCACAGCAUUUGGAGGUUCUAGGCUAGGGGUCUAAUCGGAGCUACAGCUGCCAGGCUGUGCCACAGCCACAGCGAUGCCAGAUCCGAGCCACAGCUGUGACCUAGACCACAGCUCAAAAAAAAAAAAAAAAAAAAAAAAAAAUGCCAGAUCCUUAACGCACUAAGUGAGGCCAUGGAUUGAACCUACAACCUCAUGGUUCCUAGUCAUAUUUGUUUCUACUGUGCCACAACGGGAACUCCUGGGGUUAGCUAAACUUUAAGAACGAGUUCUGUCCAGUUUUCCCAGCACCACUUGCUGAAGAGACAGCCACAUGUAAAUCAAUGAAACUAGAACACACCCUCACACCAUGCACAAAAAUAAACUCAAAAUGGCUUAAAGUCUUAAACAGAUAAGAUACCAUAAAACUCCUAGAAGAGAACAUAGGCAAAACAAUCUCUGACAUCAACCUUAAAAAUGUUUCCUUAGGUCAGUCUCCCAAGGCAACAGAAAUAAAAACAAAAGUAAACCAAUGGGACCUAAUCAAACUACAAGCUUUUACACAGCAAAGGAAACCCUAAAAAAAAAAAAUAAAAA
rnacentral:lncRNA from 1 species